rnacentral:rRNA from 1 species
CAAGGUUAAAACUCAAAUGAAUUGACGGGGGCCNGCACAAGCGGUGGAGCAUGUGGUUUAUUUNGAUGCAACGCGAAGANCUUUACCUACUCUUGACAUCCAGAGAACUUNCCAGAGAUGCAUUGGUGCCUUCGGGAACUCUGAGACAGGUGCUGCAUGGCUGUCGUCAGCUCGUGUUGUGAAAUGUUGGGUUAAGUCCCGCAACGAGCGCAACCCUUAUCCUUUGUUGCCAGCGGUNCGGCCGGGAACUCAAAGGAGACUGCCAGUGAUAAACUGGAGGAAGGUGGGGAUNACGUCAAGUCAUCAUGGCCCUUACGAGUAGGGCUACACACGUGCUACAAUGGCGCAUACAAAGAGAAGCGACCUCGCNAGAGCAAGCGNACCUCAUAAAGUGCGUCGUAGUCCGGAUUGGAGUCUGCAACUCGACUCCAUGAAGUCGGAAUCG